GAACAUACAGAGCUGCUAGUAGCCAUUGUUCGGUCUCCUAGCCAGGAUCUCGAGUUCCUUUUACAUCACAAGGAAUUCAAUGCACUGAGGCCACAUGAAUGGUUAUUUGGAGAGACUAUUGAGUGCUAUUUCAGAGCUGUACUUAAUAAGGAGGAUGCAAAUCUCUACCAGCUAAGCCAUUACACCACAGGUGUCAUUUUAAAUGGCACAAGAGAGCAGAUGGAACAGCAAGGAUUUUGAAAAGUCAACUUAGAGCAAUAUGAUGGGGUCAUCACUUUUGUCAAUAUCACUAAAAAUCACUGGAGGUUUGUGUUAAGUAAAAGAGUGCUAAUUUCAAUGAUAAGCUACUACAUAUGCCCAUUUAGACAUGUUUGAUCUUUCAGUGACAUUUAUUUGCUAAUUUAUUUGUUUCUUUUUAUCCAAUUUAGUUUGUAUAUGCUCAGACUGACACCCUUUUCGUGCUUGACUCUGACUGGUACAAAUGAAAUGAAA